rnacentral:rRNA from 1 species
AAGUAAAAGUCGUAACAAGGUUUCCGUAGGUGAACCUGCGGAAGGAUCAUUAUUGAAAUAAACCUGAUGGGUUGUUGCUGGUUCUCUAGGGAGCAUGUGCACACCUUGUCAUCUUUAUAUCUCCACCUGUGCACCUUUUGUAGACCUUACAGGUCUAUGUUGCCUUUUCAUUUACACCAAUGUAUGUUAAUAGAAUGUUGUGACUAUAAAAUCUAUACAACUUUCAGCAACGGAUCUCUUGGCUCUCGCAUCGAUGAAGAACGCAGCGAAAUGCGAUAAGUAAUGUGAAUUGCAGAAUUCAGUGAAUCAUCGAAUCUUUGAACGCACCUUGCGCUCCUUGGUAUUCCGAGGAGCAUGCCUGUUUGAGUGUCAUUAAUAUAUAUAUCAACCCUCUUUUGUUGAGUGGUUUGGAUGUGAGGAUUUGCUGGAUUCUUAAAAGGGUUCCAGCUUCCUUGAAAUGCAUUAGCAGAACGGACCUGUUCAUUGGUGUGAUAACUAUCAGCACUAUUGAAUGUAAGGGUUAGUUCAGCUUUCUAACAGUCCUUGGACAAUUAAUCAUUUAUGUGACCUCAAAUCAGGUAGGACUACCCGCUGAACUUAAGCAUAUCAAUAAGCGGAGGAAAAGAAACUAACAAGGAUUCCCCUAGUAACUGCGAGUGAAGCGGGAAAAGCUCAAAUUUAAAAUCUGGCAGUCUUUUGG